UGGGGAAUAUUGCACAAUGGGCGCAAGCCUGAUGCAGCCAUGCCGCGUGAGUGAAGAAGGCCCUAGGGUUGUAAAACUCUUUCACCGGUGAAGAUAAUGACGGUAGCCGGAGAAGAAGCCCCGGCCAACUCCGUGCCAGCAGCCGCGGUAAUACGGAGGGGGCUAGCGUUGUUCGGAAUCACUGGGCGUAAAGCGCGCGUAGGCGGGCUGGUCAGUUGGGGGUGAAAUCCCGAGGCUUAACCUCGGAACUGCCUUCAAAACUGCCAGCCUUGAGUCCGGGAGAGGUGAGUGGAAUUCCUAGUGUAGAGGUGAAAUUCGUAGAUAUUAGGAAGAACACCAGUGGCGAAGGCGGCUCACUGGCCCGGUACUGACGCUGAGGCGCGAAAGCGUGGGGAGCAAACAGGAUUAGAUACCCCCGUAGUCC
rnacentral:rRNA from 1 species